GGGCGGGGCCGGUUCCUAGUAAAUAACGGGGUGGGUCGAUUCUAAAAGUUAGAGAAAACGGGCCCCCAGCCUGGACCGUUCAUUCCUACUGACUAUUGUUUAUUACCCUUCUCAAACCUAAUUUCACUCAAGCCUCGCCCUCACCCUCUCUCUCUCUCUCUCUCUCUCUCUCUCUCUCCCGAGUCCACUCUGUGUCUUCUCCCUCGUCUCUCGAUCUCUCUCGAUCUUUUCCCGAUCUCCUCUCUCUCGAUUUCCUCCCGAUCUCCUACCUUUCGAUCUCUUCCCUUUCUCUUUCUCUCUCUCCCACAGUCUCUCUCUCUCUCUCCUAUCUCACCCGCCCUAAACCCAACUCAACCUCUUUCUUCCUCUUGUCUUCUUUAACCUUCACAAAGCAUAACCAGGCAUAUACCCAGGAAUCGGCUUAAGAUCCGCGACAUCAAGCUCUGCUUCCCGCGCCGUCUUCCAUAGGUUUUAUGCGGCGGAUGUGAGGGCGGAGAGCUUCGAGGUGCUCGACAAGUGUAAGAGGAAGGUUGUGGUGACGGCGAAUCCAACGGUGAUGGUGGAGCGAGUUUGGGUUUGGGUCAGGUCGAGCUUGGCUGAGACGAUGAGCGAGUUGAAGAUCGGGAGGAUGAGCGAGUCUGGGAGACGAUCAAAACCAGAAUAAAGAAAGAAAAAAAGUAAAGAGGACCUGUGGACCCGUCCCGAACCGACCCGUUUGAAAUGGGCCGGGUUAGGUCCGGUUCCAAUGAUCAGAUUUGUAAUACCCGGCCCUGCCUGUUUCCUUUUUAAGCGGAUUUGGUUCGGUCCCUCUAAAUUUGGGCUCGGCCCAACCCAUGCUCACCCCUAGUUUUAGGGCCAAAAUCUUUGAAAUAUGAGGAAUAUGUUAUGAAAGACAUAGAGAUAGGAAUAAACCACCAGUAUACUGUAUAAUUUUUUUUUUUCAUUUUAAAGAUCCAACUCUAAAUUUGUGUCAUGACACCGCCUUUUAAAAUUCUUUAUUUUAGGAAAUUGUUAUAUGUAUUCUGGAGAUUUAAUUGGGCACUA